CAGCAGCCGCGGUAAUACGAAGGGGGCUAGCGUUGUUCGGAUUUACUGGGCGUAAAGCGCACGUAGGCGGACUUUUAAGUCAGGGGUGAAAUCCCGGGGCUCAACCCCGGAACUGCCUUUGAUACUGGAAGUCUUGAGUAUGGUAGAGGUGAGUGGAAUUCCGAGUGUAGAGGUGAAAUUCGUAGAUAUUCGGAGGAACACCAGUGGCGAAGGCGGCUCACUGGACCAUUACUGACGCUGAGGUGCGAAAGCGUGGGGAGCAAACAGGAUUAGAUACCCCUGUAGUCCCUGUCUAUUAUAC
rnacentral:rRNA from 1 species